UACUGGCAUUGGUGAUCAGCUGAUCUCACAGCAAGCUGGUUCAGAAGGCUAAACCAGAAGAAAGGCAUCUCAAAUGGCUCUAGACCACCUUGUGUGGAUAUCUGAAUGGAAGCCAGUAUUCCAGUCAGGACCUGGAUGGGAUGAUUGUAUCACAUGUUGUUUGGCUGAAGGAACCUAAAGGAAGAAAGAACUACCACGAGCUGUCCAGUCCUUCUUGUCUCUGAUAGUAACCAAGACCUGAUGUUUAGAAAAGUGCAGGAUGUAUAACUCUUAAAUACUGGAUUUGUUUUGAUAAUAAUGCCAAAUUCGUUCAGACGGAGGUGAGGGCAAGGAGGUGCUUUUGUGAUGCAUUUUCUUCAGGAGUGACAAGCUCAAGCAAUUGCGGAGGUCAUAGAGCUGGACGAGAUCUCAUGGGUCAUCACAUCCAGUUUGCAGUAAGCAGCUAACUCACAUGGUCUCAUUCCUCACAUCCCACAGGGAUCCUUGUUGCUGUCUUCAGAGAGGCUAUCAUAGUUAAUGGCCUGCAGCAGCUGCCUAAUUCCCAUGGAUCUACCAUGAUAAAUAAAGUAGUAUCCUUCUCCAUCAGAGGCAAAGACUUGUUCCCAUACUCACCCAUCUUCUGAGCUUCUAAAGUGGGCUGCCUCUUUCCCUGUUGUCCUGAUUACUCAUUGGGGAUCAAUGAAGUCUUUUCCCUGAUUUCCAUUUG